UUGGAGGGCAGUCUGGUGCCAGCAGCCGCGGUAAUUCCAGCUCCAUAGCGUAUAUUAAAGUUGUUGCAGUUAAAAAGCUCGUAGUUGAACUUCGGGAUCAAGGAAUCGGUCAUGCCUUGGUAUGCACUGGUUUUAUUGGUUCUCACCUUCUAAAGAACCAUAAUGUCAUUCAUUUGAUGUUAUGGGGAAUUAGGACUGUUACCUUGAAAAAAUUAGAGUGUUUAAAGCAAGCUUACGCUUGAAUACAUUAGCAUGGAAUAAUGAAAUAGGACAUCCGAUUCUAUUUUGUUGGUUUCUAGGAUCGAUGUAAUGAUUAAUAGGGAUAGUUGGGGGCAUUAGUAUUCAAUUGUCAGAGGUGAAAUUCUUGGAUUUAUUGAAGACUAACUACUGCGAAAGCAUUUGCCAAGGAUGUUUUCAUUAAUCAAGAACGAAAGUUAGGGGAUCGAAGACGAUCAGAUACCGUCGUAGUCUUAACCAUAAACUAUGCCGACUAGGGAUCGGAUGAUGUUAAUUUUAUAAUGACUCAUUCGGCGCCUUACGGGAAAC
rnacentral:rRNA from 1 species